rnacentral:rRNA from 1 species
AUUGAACGCUGGCGGCAGGCCUAACACAUGCAAGUCGAACGAGUGGCGGACGGGUGAGUAAUGUCUGGGAAACUGCCUGAUGGAGGGGGAUAACUAAUGGAAACGGUAUCUAAUACCGCAUACCAUCAGAUGUGCCCAGAUGGGAUUAGCAUGUGGGGGGGGUAACGGCUCACCAAGGCGACGAGCCCUAGCGGGUCUGAGAGGAGGACCAGCAACACGGGAACUGAGACACGGUCCAGACUCCUACGGGAGGAAGAAGUGGGGAAUAUUGCACAAUGGGCGCAAGCCUGAUGCAGCCAGGCCGCGUGUAUGAAGAAGGCCUUCGGGUUGUAAAGUACUUUCAGCGGGGAGGCGUUACCCGCAGAAGAAGCACCGGCUAACUCCGUGCCAGCAGCCGCGGUAAUUC